UGGGGAAUAUUGCACAAUGGGCGAAAGCCUGAUGCAGCAACGCCGCGUGAGUGAUGAAGGCCUUCGGGUUGUAAAGCUCUGUCUUCUGGGACGAUAAUGACGGUACCAGAGGAGGAAGCCACGGCUAACUACGUGCCAGCAGCCGCGGUAAUACGUAGGUGGCAAGCGUUGUCCGGAUUUACUGGGCGUAAAGGAUGCGUAGGCGUAUACUUAAGUCAGAUGUGAAAAGCCCGGGCUUAACUUGGGAACUGCAUUUGAAACUGGGUAUCUAGAGUGCGGGAGAGGAAAGGGGAAUUCCUAGUGUAGCGGUGAAAUGCGUAGAUAUUAGGAAGAACACCAGUGGCGAAGGCGACUUUCUGGAACGUAACUGACGCUGAGGCAUGAAAGCGUGGGGAGCAAACA
rnacentral:rRNA from 1 species